CAGAUCUUUGCAAUUUAAAGCUCUGAGUGGCACUGUAACUGUUAUGGACAGGCGUUUAGUUUACCAUCGGACGCACGACUUGUUCGUCCUGUCACUUGAUGUUACAAAUAAAAAUAAUAUGUAAAUGACUACAAGCGAAAGCAUUCAUGAGAUUUGAAAUUUCUUUUUGAACUAGCGCUGUUUGUUUCUAGGGUUAUUCUGUGGAAGAAUGUAUAGUUAUAAAGUCAUCAGUACAAUGUUGCGAAAUAAAUGGACCACCGACAGAUCCAGACACAAUUGCAGAUAUAAGGAAAUGUUUUGAGGGCAUUCCCAAAACGGAUACAGAAAAUUGUGAAGUCGACAUAUGUAUAGCACAAAGAAAAGGUUAUAUGGCACCAGGAAGACAAAUAAACAAGGAUGUAUUAGACGAAGAAAUGACUCAUAGCUUUGGUCAUAUACCGAAUUUGCUGAAACUUGUAAAGGAAAAUUGUGUCUAUGGUAAUUUGUCAAGAUUUGGUUCAGCCUGUGAGUUCAUUCUUACUAGGCGAUGCAUACAUUUACAUAUGAUAGCGUUCUGCCCGGAAUGGAAAAAUGAGGAAAAGUGCGAG